CUCGUAUAGUGCACUAGAAUAAUGUCCCAGUAAACUAUAGACGCUCGGCUAAAAUUGGCUAGAGGAAACGCAUCACGCCUAGUGUUCACCCCAUCCCUCAGCUGACGCGACCGUUGGAAAAAAUAAUGUGAAAUAAACUUGCAGACGUUGCUUUUUUUUACUCUUUCCCGCUGAAACUGAAAAGAUUUGUGUGGAAAUGAACCUUCGCGUCUUAUAUUUCUUGCGUCACCUAGCAACACGAUAACGGCACGCCAGACGCGCCAGAUGCACACGUCAUGCGCCAGAGAGGCUACCGAAGCGAGCGAGGCCGGCUGCAUGUGUGAAGUUCGUCUGUUCAGCGACAGGACUCGUUUGUAUGUCGUCUGUCGGUUGGGCUCCCGGCGUAUUGCGUUCCUUCUGCAGUUCGACACGGCACUGCUGCUAUAUUGGGCUACGGCAAGGAAUUCCCCGUGUGGCUCAUGGUUCGAAAAGCGGGGGGACGAAUAGCCGGGCCAAGUUCCGCUUCCCAAGAGACAAGUUACGAGCCAGCCGACGUGCAGGGAGUCGCAGCGAUGGGACGCACCUGCGUGAACCUGUGGGACGCGGUGUCAAGGCAUGGUCUCCGACAUCUACAACUCGUCGAGGGCGCUCUUACUCCGCAGCGCCACUGUAGCGAAAUUUAGGGCAACGUACAGUCGCGAUCAAUUUGAAGGCGAUCGCGCGAGCAUCGACUGGCGGGCCUUCCAAGCAGCAUUGCGGCCGAUUUCGGAACUGCGAAGAUAAAAAUUGCGCAGCCUUCUUCCCCUAUUAUGCUCUUCCAGGCUGCAACCACCACCCCCAAGACCAACUCGCCACAUUUUUGUGUUUGUUUCCCUUUCAAUGCAGUGAUCUGUGUGCGUCGCUUCCUCAUGCAUAUCUUGGCAAACAAUGACGGCUCUGUGCAAAAGCUCAUAACGCAAUCGAAAUGAAUUCGCAGGUUAUACCGUGAACGGUGACGGGAGUUACAGCUUUUCAGGGAACACCAAAAGAGAGAGAGGGGAGCUAUCUGAUGCUUCCCUCUCGACCGACGGUGAUGACGUAACGUGGCGCUGCUCCUAGUUUUGGUCGCCGCUCGAGCGAUCACCUUCAAAUUGAUCGUGAUUGUACUCCUCCCUUACGCUCACGCCGCUUUCUCGAAUACUGAUUUUGUGUUCCAGCAACGUUGUGCCUGCCCUGAACCCUUCAAUAAAAUCUAGGAUGUCGGUGGUUAUCACUGCGAAAGGGGACAUGACAAAAUAUUAACAAAAAUCCAACGCCGAAUAAUUGCAGUUUGCGGCUGUUACUUCACCAAGUGUUCAAUAUUUUGCGAAAAGUGCGUGAAAUAAAAAG